GACGAACGCUGGCGGCGUGCUUAACACAUGCAAGUCGAACGGAAAGGCCCUGCUUUUGUGGGGUGCUCGAGUGGCGAACGGGUGAGUAACACGUGAGUAACCUGCCCUUGACUUUGGGAUAACUUCAGGAAACUGGGGCUAAUACCGGAUAGGAGCUCCUGCUGCAUGGUGGGGGUUGGAAAGUUUCGGCGGUUGGGGAGGGACUCGCGGCUUAUCAGCUUGUUGGUGGGGUAGUGGCUUACCAAGGCUUUGACGGGUAGCCGGCCUGAGAGGGUGACCGGCCACAUUGGGACUGAGAUACGGCCCAGACUCCUACGGGAGGCAGCAGUGGGGAAUAUUGCACAAUGGGCGGAAGCCUGAUGCAGCAACGCCGCGUGCGGGAUGACGGCCUUCGGGUUGUAAACCGCUUUCGCCUGUGACGAAGCGUGAGUGACGGUAAUGGGUAAAGAAGCACCGGCUAACUACGUG
rnacentral:rRNA from 1 species